rnacentral:rRNA from 1 species
AGCGCGCCCUUCGGGGUGAGCGGCGGACGGGUUAGUAACGCGUGGGAACGUGCCCAGAUCCAAGGAAUAGCCACUGGAAACGGUGAGUAAUACCUUAUACGCCCUUCGGGGGAAAGAUUUAUCGGAUUUGGAUCGGCCCGCGUUAGAUUAGAUAGUUGGUGGGGUAAUGGCCUACCAAGUCUACGAUCUAUAGCUGGUUUUAGAGGAUGAUCAGCAACACUGGGACUGAGACACGGCCCAGACUCCUACGGGAGGCAGCAGUGGGGAAUCUUGGACAAUGGGCGCAAGCCUGAUCCAGCCAUGCCGCGUGAGUGAUGAAGGCCUUAGGGUCGUAAAGCUCUUUCGCCAGGGAUGAUAAUGACAGUACCUGGUAAAGAAACCCCGGCUAACUCCGUGCCAGCAGCCGCGGUAACACGGAGGGGGUUAGCGUUGUUCGGAAUUACUGGGCGUAAAGCGCGCGUAGGCGGACUGGAAAGUUGGGGGUGAAAUCCCAGGGCUCAACCCUGGAACUGCCUCCAAAACUAUCAGUCUAGAGUUCGAGAGAGGUGAGUGGAGUUCCGAGUGUAGAGGUGAAAUUCGUAGAUAUUCGGAGGAACACC